rnacentral:rRNA from 1 species
GAUGAACGCUAGCGGCAGGCCUAACACAUGCAAGUCGAGCGCCCCGCAAGGGGAGCGGCAGACGGGAGAGCAACGCGUGGGAAUCUACCCAUAUCUACGGAAUAACGCAUGGAAACGUGUGCUAAUACCGUAUACGUCCUUCGGGUGCAAGAUUUAUCGGAGAUGGAUGAGCCCACGUUGGAUUAGCUAGUUGGUGGGGUAAAGGCCUACCAAGGCGACGAUCCAUAGCUGGUCUGAGAGGAUGAUCAGCCACACUGGGACUGAGACACGGCCCAGACUCCUACAGGAGGCAGCAGUGGGGAAUAUUGGACAAUGGGGGCAACCCUGAUCCAGCCAUGCCGCGUGAGUGAUGAAGGCCCUAGGGUUGUAAAGCUCUUUCGGCGGGGACGAUAAUGACGGUACCCGCAGAAGAAGCCCCGGCUAACUUCGUGCCAGCCGCCGCCGUAA